UUGCCUUGAUAAAAUGUUUUAUCAUUUGGAUUCCACCCAAAAUGGCAGGAAAGUCUUCCCUCCUGCCAGAGGAACUUCCCAUGGAAGAAAGAAAAUUCUUUUCAGGGAUGGAGCACAGGUGAGCGGAGAUGCUGUUGUACUGAGCGGUUGAAACAAAGCAAGGAUUGGGAAUGUUAGAUGCUGCGGUUCUCAACUUUGUGCACCUCAGCAUCGUUGGUACCGUGCCAGGUUUUCACACCAGGAGAAUUUCGGAGUGUCCUUUCAGGGAUGGCAAUCCCAGCAGCAUCAUCUUUUAUCUGUUUGCACUGAGUCCAUUUGGCCUUGCCCUGCUGUGGUCCCCCUUGGUGCCCCUCUCCUGUGCUCCCAGGACAUCAGGGUUUGAAAUGAGAGCACCAUGGGGGUAAUUCCAGCCCAUCCACGGCCACCACCUCCCUUUUCCAACCAGAGCAAGUCCCAGAGACAGCAGGAGAGAGUGGUGGCACAGAGAGUGGUGGCACAGCCAGCAGCUCCCACAGUGACAGGCCACUGAACAAUAAAGGGCUGCACAUUCUAAUGAUGA